rnacentral:rRNA from 1 species
UAGGGAAUCUUCCGCAAUGGACGCAAGUCUGACGGAGCAACGCCGCGUGAGUGAAGAAGGAUUUCGGUUCGUAAAACUCUGUUGUUAGAGGAGAACAGCGCAUAGAGUAACUGUUAUGCGUGUGACGGUAUCUAACCAGAAAGCCACGGCUAACUACGUGCCAGCAGCCGCGGUAAUACGUAGGUGGCAAGCGUUGUCCGGAUUUAUUGGGCGUAAAGCGAGCGCAGGCGGUCAAUUAAGUCUGAUGUGAAAGCCCCCGGCUCAACCGGGGAGGGUCAUUGGAAACUGGUUGACUUGAGUGCAGAAGAGGAGAGUGGAAUUCCAUGUGUAGCGGUGAAAUGCGUAGAUAUAUGGAGGAACACCAGUGGCGAAGGCGACUCUCUGGUCUGUAACUGACGCUGAGGUUCGAAAGCGUGGGUAGCAAACAGG